rnacentral:rRNA from 1 species
UUAUGUAAAUACCUAAAACGUUAUUGCACCGGAUCCCAUCAGAACUUUGCAGCUAAGCACACUUGGGCUAGAGUAGUAUUGGGAUGGGUGAACUCAUGAGAAGUCCUAACGUUUUACAUAAC